UACGAAGGGUGCAAGCGUUACUCGGAAUUACUGGGCGUAAAGGGUGCGUAGGUGGUUUGUUAAGUCUGCUGUGAAAUCCCCCGGGCUCAACCUGGGAAUGGCAGUGGAUACUGGCAAGCUAGAGUGCGGUAGAGGGUAGUGGAAUUCCCGGUGUAGCAGUGAAAUGCGUAGAGAUCGGGAGGAACACCUGUGGCGAAAGCGGCUCACUGGACCAUAACUGACGCUGAUGCACGAAAGCUGGGGGAGCAAACAGG
rnacentral:rRNA from 1 species